ensembl:snRNA U6 U6 spliceosomal RNA
GUGGUUCAGCUUUCUUUGGCAUCACAUGUACUAAAAUUGAAAUGAGGCAAAGAUUAGAAUGUCCCCUUCUGAAGGAUGACACACAAAUUCGUGAAAUGUUCCUACUUAAA